rnacentral:rRNA from 1 species
AUUGAACGCUGGCGGCAAGCCUAACACAUGCAAGUCGAACGAGUGGCGGACGGGUGAGUAAUGUCUGGGAAACUGCCUGAUGGAGGGGGAUAACUACUGGAAACGGUAGCUAAUACCGCAUACCAUCGGAUGUGCCCAGAUGGGAUUAGCUAGUAGGGGGGGGAAAGGCUCACCUAGGCGACGAUCCCUAGCUGGUCUGAGAGGAUGACCAGCCACGCUGGAACUGAGCCAAGGGGCAGACGCGUACGGGAGGCAGCAGGGGGGAAUUGUUCACAAUGGGCGCAAGCCUGAUGAAGGCAUGCCGCGGGUAUGAAGAAGGCCUUCGGGUUGUAGAGUACUUUCAGCGGGGAGGCGUUACCCGCGGAAGAAGCACCGGCUAACUCCGUGCCAGCAGCGGCGGUAAUAC